rnacentral:rRNA from 1 species
GUGCAGCAGUCGCGAAAACUCUGCAAUACGCGAAAGCGUGACAGGGCUACCCCGAGUGUCGUCCGCUGAGGACGACUUUUCCACGCUGUAAGGAGGCGUGGGAAUAAGGAGAGGGCAAGUCUGGUGUCAGCCGCCGCGGUAAUACCAGCUCUCCGAGUGGUAGGGACGUUUAUUGGGCUUAAAGCGUCCGUAGCCGGCUCAACAAGUCUCCCGUUAAAUCCAGCGAUUCAAUCGUUGGACUGCGGGAGAUACUGUUAGGCUAGGGGGCGGGAGAAGCCGACGGUAUUUCCGGGGUAUGGGUAAAAUCCUAUAAUCCCGGGAAGACCACCAGUGGCGUAGGCGGUCGGCUAGCACGCGCUCGACAGUGAGGGACGAAAGCUGGGGUAGCGAACCGGAUUAGAUACCCGGGAGUCC